rnacentral:tRNA from 1 species
GGAGAAGUAGCUCAGUAAGUAAAGUGCUGGUCUGGCAAGCAAGAAGACCUGGGUUCAAUCCCCAGAAUCUACA